GGCUCAGAACGAACGCUGGCGGCGCGUUUAAGCAUGCAAGUCGAGCGGCAAGGGCCUUCGGGCCCCUAGAGCGGCGGACGGGUGAGUAACACGUGGACAAUCUGCCCCCCGGCCCGGGAUAGCCCAGGGAAACCUGGAUUAAUACCGGAUGAGACGGGACCCGCGAUGGCGGGAUCCGGGAAAGGCGCUGCGGCGCCGCCGGGGGAUGAGUUUGCGUCCCAUUAGCUAGACGGCGGGGUAACGGCCCACCGUGGCGACGAUGGGUAGCCGGCCUGAGAGGGUGGACGGCCACAUUGGGACUGAGACACGGUCCAGACUCCUACGGGAGGCAGCAGCUAAGAAUCUUCCGCAAUGGGCGAAAGCCUGACGGAGCGACGCCGCCGUGAACGAAGAAGGCCGUGAGGUUGUAAAGUUCUUUUCGGGAGGGGGAACAACCGUGGCAGGGAAUGGCCGCGGGAUGACGUGAAUCCCGGAAUAAGCCCCGGCUAACUACGUGCCAGCAGCAGC
rnacentral:rRNA from 1 species